GUGCACGAAAAAUAUUUAAUCUGUAAAAAUUAUCAUAAUAUUACAAAAACUACAAAAUCUCAAACUAAAAUCUUAAAUUUUAACGAUCUAUUUACAGCCAUAAGCUUGCAAUUUCAACAUCAAAUGGUUACUUUCUACUUUCUAUAUUUUUGCCCUAAUGUGAUUGUUCAUCGCAUUUUUUCCCGAUACUAUAUUACUUACAGUAAUGUUAUAUAUAUGAUAGCCAAUAUGCAGUAACCAACUUUACUAUAUUUACUUCUUUAUUCAUCAUUCAUCAAGGUUCUAAACAUGCAAGGUUCAAUCUCCUUUUAUCAACUAAUUUAAGACAUGUAAGGCAGCCCGGCAGUAGUAACAAGAAGUACAAAAAUAAAUCGAAUGUUAGUUUUCGGCAAUCCAUUUGCUCCGUUUUCCAUCUUUUCAACUCUGUUCUUUAAAUCUUGCAUUUCUCGCUUCUGCUUCGCAAUCAUCUGCGAAUCCAGCUUUUUCUCAGCUUCCAGUGUCGCAAUUCUUUCUUUCAUGCUUUCCAUUUUUGAGUCAUGUUCCCUGUCUUUUUCUUCCUUUAAAUCUUGCAUUUCUCGCUUCUGCUUCGCAAUCAUCUGUGAAUCCAGCUUUUUCUCAGCUUCCAGUGUCCCAACUCUUUCUUUUAUGCUUUCCAUUUUCGAGUCAUGUUCCCUGUCUUUUUCUUGGAACUUUGAUUUCGUUUUCGAGAAAUCGUAUUUCAUUUCUUUCUGUUCGUUGAUAUCAUUGUUCAUGCUUUUUUGAAGCUCUUGUAAUUCUUGCUUCUGCUCCCCAAUCAUUUGCAAAUCCAGCUUUCUUUCAGCUUCCAGUUUCGCAAUUCUUUUUUUCAUGCUUUCCAUUGUUGAGUCAUGACCGGAAAUUGCUAAGUCGUGUUUCCGGUCUUUUUCUUGGAACUGUGAUUUCGCUUUUGAGAAAUCGUCUUUCACUUCUCUCUGUAUGUUGAUAUUAUUGUUUAUGUUUUUUUGAAGCUCUUGUUUUAUACCGUCCACCUUUACAUCUAUUUUUGCCACGGACGAAAGAAGAGAUCCAAUGGCAUCUUCAAGUGCUUUGUGCCAAGUUUUGUUGGCUAGUGCGAUUUGGUUCUCAACGUUCUCUUGAAGUCUUUUUUCGACAGUUUUCUCCGAGAACAAGAAGUCUGAUUUAUAUGCCAUUUUGAAAUGCAAAGUUUUGUUUUGCUGCACCAUCAAUUUUACGAUAUCUUCGACUUCUGAGUUCGUUUGAUUCCAGUGUUUCCACAGUUCGCUAACAUUGGUCGAGGUUGAAUUUCGUAGUACAUUUAGCUCUUGCCUUAGCUCGUUCACGGCUGCAACAACGAAGGGUAGCACAUCUCUACGAACAGAGUAAUUCAAUUGCGUCAGUUGCGUUUGAAGACGCAUUAGUUUAUUAUUAGUAUCAUUCAAAUUCCAGCGCAAACGAGACAUUUUCGAGUCCAAGGAGCUAUUCGCUAUUAGAACAACUGCGCUUAGGUUUCCAACGGUGAAAACAAGAACGUUCAAGUGGUCCUUUAUAUCUUCAAAGCUUUGUCGCAAUUCAUGUCUAGUGUUUGGGGCAGAUUUAUCCUUCGUCCUCAUCCGUUGAAUUUCGCCGUCAAUACGAGCGCUGAUUCGUGGUAUGAAACGGAUUUCGUCUUUUGCGUCGUUUAGCCUCUGUUUGUUAAACUCGUUUACUUUCUUAAGUAAAAUGAUUGAACAGAGAAAUGCGAAAAAAGCUAGACAAAGUGCAACACCGAUCACAAUGCCCAACAAGAUACGUUUUAUGGUACAUGAUGCUGUUAAUUUUCCUUCUGUUAAAUUUACAUGUACUUGUGAUUCUUCCGGAUCCAUUGUGUUCACUUUCGUAUACUCUUGUAGUUUUGCCAUUGUGCUUGUUUUGGGGACCUAAACACCCGACUACGAACGAUGUAGGCUGUAUUUUACUUAAAAAUCAACAUCGUCAACAAGUAUGUGUUCACUCGUGCAGCUAGCUGAUUGGACUGACUAGAUGGAAGGGAAAGUCCCGCUAGGGGAAGCACCUCUGCAGAAAAAACGAGUCAUCAAUUUUGGAAGGAUUUUAGAGAUUUGAGAUUUUGAUGAGAGAUUAUAAUUUUUCAGUAAUUUUUCGGUAGAGUUUUGUGUUUGAAUGAUGUCUUGUAUAACAGAGAUGUUAUUGCUAUAAGCUACUAAUAGCAAAACCCACUAAUCUUAAACACGGAAUAGGAA